rnacentral:lncRNA from 1 species
CAAAGUUCCCGGUUCAAUCACUUAUUUUGCUUGUUUCUGUCUUCAUUCAUCCUUGCAGCUCAUCCUUGUACCUCUCCACUCAGCGGGUCAUGGAGAAGUUGCAUCAUCCAUGUGCUCCAUGGUUGGAUCCAUGGCUCAGACAGUGAAAGAAAGAACAUGCUGGUUGAACCUAAGCAGGAUCCCCUUUUAUAUCCUUUUGAACACCUUUUAUUUUCCAGUUCAUAGGCUGAUUCUGGAUGCUUUAGCAGGGAAGGCAUGAAAUCUUGGGUUUUCUUCUGGCUUUGCUACCGGACCAUCGUGUGGCCUUGGGUCUGGGGAAAAAAAAGAAACAGGACUCAGGUGGAGAAUGAAUGCUUUGAAGAGGUUUCCACCCCAUAACCUAAGUCAUGGUCCCUGCCUGCACACCAGCCUUCUCCACAAUACAGAUCCUACAGCCUGCAGAUGCUUGGGCCAAAUGCUCCUACCUGUGUGCACGCCUCUUUGGGUUUGCUGUCGCAUUGACAACACUGACUAUUCAUGGAAAAGUGUGGAUUCAGACACAAGGAGGCAGAUACCAAAACCACAAUAGGAAAAGUCCUAGCUCUGUGACCAGGCUUGAACUGGGAUGUUACACGAGUACUGGUCUGGGAGAGAACACUUGUCAUCUUGCUAGACCCCGCCUAAACCAAGUAAAAGGACUUGUUUUUAAGCAUCCUCAAGUCCAAAACUCUAUACCUUCCUUCAGAAGAGGUGCUUGGUGGUGUCAACGAGCUCAUGGUGCCCAUUUGACUGAGAUGGAGCGGGCCACACCCAAGGCUGGUGUGCACCACUGGACAUGCCUUCGCUGAAGCUGUGGAGAUGAGGAGGCUCAGCAGUGAGCACACUUCACCAUCUUGUCGAAGAG